ACCCUGCUUGAACAGAUGGACCGUUGGACCAGAUGACCACCAGAGAUCCCUUCUCACCUCAAGUGUUCCAUGCUUAUAUGAUUCUGCAUUAAUAUGUUCCAAGUAUCCAUCAGAAUAGAUCAAAUUGCAGAAACAAUAUGAUAAAAGGCAAGUAAUGAUGCAAGUUUUGUACGGAUGCAAGUAAGUCAUGCUAUCAGUCGAGUAAUUCAUAUCUUCUCCUCAUGUAGCUUAGGCUUAUACGUGCUGUUAAGAAGGUGCAUGGAUUGCAUUAAAGGAAAUGUAAGGUUAAAUACAUG